rnacentral:rRNA from 1 species
CCUACGGGAGGCAGCAGUGGGGAAUAUUGCACAAUGGGGGGAACCCUGAUGCAGCGACGCCGCGUGAGUGAAGAAGUAUUUCGGUAUGUAAAGCUCUAUCAGCAGGGAAGAAAAGGACGGUACAUGACGAAGAAGCCACGGCUAACUACGUGCCAGCAGCCGCGGUAAUACGUAGGGGGCAAGCGUUAUCCGGAUUUACUGGGGGUCAAGGGAGCGUAGACGGCUGAGCAAGUCUGAAGUGAAAGCCCGCGGCCCAACUGCGGGACUGCUUUGGAAACGGCCCGGCUAGAGUGCUGGAGAGGUUAGCGGUCUUCCUAUUGUAGCGGUGUAAUGCGUAGAUAUUAGGAG